rnacentral:tRNA from 1 species
GCCUGGGUGACUCAGUUGGUUGAGUGUCCGACUUCAGCUCGGGUCAUGAUCUUGUGGUUCACGAGUUCGAGCCCCGCAUCAGGCU